rnacentral:rRNA from 1 species
UGCAGUCGAGCGGUAACAGGGGUAGCUUGCUACCCGCUGACGAGCGGCGGACGGGUGAGUAAUGCAUGGGUAUCUGCCCGGUAGUGGGGGAUAACUCGGGGAAACCCGAGCUAAUACCGCAUACGUCCUACGGGAGAAAGCAGGGGAUCUUCGGACCUUGCGCUAUCGGAUGAGCCCAUGUCGGAUUAGCUUGUUGGUGAGGUAACGGCUCACCAAGGCCGCGAUCCGUAGCUGGUCUGAGAGGAUGAUCAGCCACACCGGGACUGAGACACGGCCCGGACUCCUACGGGAGGCAGCAGUGGGGAAUAUUGGACAAUGGGGGAAACCCUGAUCCAGCCAUGCCGCGUGUGUGAAGAAGGCCUUCGGGUUGUAAAGCACUUUCAGUGGGGAAGAAGGCAUGGUGGUUAAUAACCAUCAUGAAGGACAUCACCCACAGAAGAAGCACCGGCUAACUCCGUGCCAGCAGCCGCGGUAAUACGGAGGGUGCAAGCGUUAAUCGGAAUUACUGGGCGUAAAGGGCGCGUAGGCGGCUUGCCAAGCCGGAUGUGAAAGCCCCGGGCUCAACCCGGGAACGGCAUUCGGAACUGGCAGGCUAGAGUGCAGGAGAGGAAGGUGGAAUUCCCGGUGUAGCGGUGAAAUGCGUAGAGAUCGGGAGGAAUACCAGUGGCGAAGGCGGCCUUCUGGACUGACACUGACGCUGAGGCGCGAAAGCGUGGGUAGCAAACAGGAUUAGAUACCCUGGUAGUCCACGCCGUAAACGAUGUCGACCAGCCGUUGGACCCCUUGAGGGUUUGGUGGCGCAGUUAACGCAAUAAGUCGACCGCCUGGGGAGUACGGCCGCAAGGCUAAAACUCAAAUGAAUUGACGGGGGCCCGCACAAGCGGUGGAGCAUGUGGUUUAAUUCGAUGCAACGCGAAGAAUCUUACCU